CAGCCUACGUGUCAGCACGGUGAGGAGCUGUACUUGCACAGACACGUGUGUGCAGGGAAUACAUGGCCGCGGGCAGCGUCUGAGCUGUGAUUCUGAUGAUCGUCCUGGCUCCUCAGAUGCUGCGCUGAGAAGCCGGGGCCGAUGCGGGCCCCUCAGCACCCAGCCGGUUACCGCGGCCGCCCGGGGCCGUUCCCCUCGCUGCUCUGCCGGGAGCCAUGGCUGCCCGUCCCGGGGGAAGCCUCAAGAAACAGCUUCAAGGUCCCACAUCUUCAAAAGCAAGUCUUUUAAGAAAUCCAAAAUUUGUGGAAUCUGCAAACAAGUAAUUGAUAGCCAAGGCAUUUCCUGCAGAGCUUGCAAAUAUGCCUGCCACAGGAAAUGUGAAGAAAAGGUAAGCAUAUUUAUUUGCCUCCCUUCUUGCUGUUGAUCCACACAUAUUUGAAGUUGAG
rnacentral:lncRNA from 1 species